AGAGUUUGAUCCUGGCUCAGGAUGAACGCUGGCGGCGUGCUUAACACAUGCAAGUCGAACGAUUAACCCGCCCUCGGGCGGUUAUAGAGUGGCGAACGGGUGAGUAACACGUGACCAACCUGCCCCUUGCUCCGGGACAACCCAGGGAAACCUCGGCUAAUACCGGAUACUCCGCGCAGCCCGCAUGGGAGGCGCGGGAAAGCCCAGACGGCAAGGGAUGGGGUCGCGGCCCAUUAGGUAGACGGCGGGGUAACGGCCCACCGUGCCCGCGAUGGGUAGCCGGGUUGAGAGACCGAUCGGCCACAUUGGGACUGAGAUACGGCCCAGACUCCUACGGGAGGCAGCAGUGGGGAAUUUUGCGCAAUGGGGGAAACCCUGACGCAGCAACGCCGCGUGCGGGACGAAGGCCUUCGGGUUGUAAACCGCUUUCAGCAGGGAAUAUAGUGAAGGUACCUGCAGAAGAAGCUCCGGCUAACUACGUGCCAGCAGCCGCGGUAAUACGUAGGGAGCGAGCGUUAUCCGGAUUCAUUGGGCGUAAAGCGCGCGUAGGCGGCCCGUCAAGCGGGGUUUCAAAUCCAGGGGCUCAACCUCUGGCCGGACCCCGAACUGGCGGGCUCGAGUGCGGUAGAGGAAGGUGGAAUUCCCAGUGUAGCGGUGAAAUGCGCAGAUAUUGGGAAGAACACCGAUGGCGAAGGCAGCCUUCUGGGCCGCCACUGACGCUGAGGCGCGAAAGCUAGGGGAGCGAACAGGAUUAGAUACCCUGGUAGUCCUAGCCGUAAACGAUGGGCACUAGGUGUGGGGGAGCAUCUCCUCCGUGCCGCAGCCAACGCAUUAAGUGCCCCGCCUGGGGAGUACGGCCGCAAGGCUAAAACUCAAAGGAAUUGACGGGGGCCCGCACAAGCAGCGGAGCAUGUGGCUUAAUUCGAAGCAACGCGAAGAACCUUACCAGGGCUUGACAUGCAGGUGAAGCGGCGGAAACGCCGUGGCCGAGAGGAGCCUGCGCAGGUGGUGCAUGGCUGUCGUCAGCUCGUGUCGUGAGAU
rnacentral:rRNA from 1 species